GACUGGGUGGAUGAGGCUCACCCCGGCGGGGAGAAGGGACGAGGAGGGGCGGACAGCGGAAGGUCCGGGAGUGUCCGCCAUAAAGUCGUUUGAGUUUUAACUUCUAGUCAUGGCGAAUGAUCGCAGGAGAGCACAGACUGGACCCUGCUACGAUCUCUCUUGGAGUGGAUCAGACUGAUGAUCACCAACAACCAACUCAUUCCCGGAUAAGGAAGAAGAGAGUGUCACCUACUUCAGUGUGGUUUCAACCCUACUUCUGCAUCUUAAAGACACUGUGUACAACGUUGGACACUGUGCAGGAUGAUGCCACUUCAUCUUGGAUGCUAAUCUGCCAUGUUGACUUCUGAUUAACCCCAGGCCCAGGAAUGCCUCAAGAUUUCUACUUUACUUACUGUUGCUUGUGUAAGCCAAGACAACCUUGAUGUUAUCAUAAACAUGUACUUACCUAAGUCCUGUCCUUUGGCAAAUUAUGGGCUAUGAGACACAGCAUUCUUGCCUUUCCCUGAGGGGUCAAUUUCAGCGAUCCUACACAUUCCUUCUGAAGCACUUAUGCUCUUUCUAUAUGGUAUGUAAGCUCUCGGUCUGGGGAGUAACAGUGCAGAGAUCUACCUGUCUUGUUGCCACAUGUUUCUAAACUUUCCAAUAAAUCACCUUCUACUG
rnacentral:lncRNA from 10 species